AGGUUUUCCAGCCUGAAGAAAUUGAUGAUGCAGACCUGUUUGCUUGUCUUCCUAAGGAUUAUUCACCCCUUUCCGUGGGAGGGGCAGCGUCACUGAGAAAGUUACGGGUUGCAAGCUUGAGUGUCUAAGAACCGCCUGGCGAGCUUCUUAAGCAGAUCGCCAGGUUCCAUCUUCGCAGACUCUGGUUCAGCAGGUAGCAGGUUAGCCCGAGAAUCUGCAUUUCUAACAAGCUCCUAGGCGUGCCCACGCUGUCAGUAUUGGCAGCCCAACCUUUUUUGGGGGGUGGGGGGGGGAGUUUUUCUAUGUUGCCGGUCUCGAACUCCUAGCCUUAAGCGAUCUUCCCUACUCGGCCUCCCAAAAUGCCAGGAUCGCAAGCGUAAGCCACUGUGCCAGACCACCACCCUUUUUCUUCUUUUUUGUAAGUGGACUAAUUAUAGUUGUAUAUAAGCAGCUCCACUUUUGAUGACCACUGCUCUAUUUUGUCGGCUCCUGGGGACCUCCUUUCCAUGAAGUGGAGAAGGAAGGGGAUAGAGGAGUCCCUCAUCACAGGGUCCUUUUGCGCACUGCUAUCCCUGGAAUGAGACCCUGGGAAGGGCCCCGGAUCACUCAGGCUGUCACUGCAAGGAAAAAGUUGAGGAAGCAGCAGUGCCCCUGGAAAGCCUGGAAGUGUCCCUGCUGCUUGGAUCAAGGAACAAUUCGUCCUUGCAAGGAAGAAGCAUCCCUUGUUGAUGAUAAGGACAGAUUUCCUCAGCUGCCCCAGAAAGCCAGCCUCUGCCUAAAACACCGUAGGUCAGGAGGGAAAGCUGGCGGGGAACCAGCCAGCUGCACCACAGACAGUCUGGUGGUAUACCUGGGAAGAAAGCUACCUGCAAGGACCUACUCUGUUCCUACUACGCUCUGGGUGUCCCCCAAGUCACUGCCUAUUUUGCUUGGUUGCAUAAACUAUUUAUGUAAAUGUACUUCCAAUUUUAGUGCUUACAGCCACUAGCAAAAAGCAAAAGCUUUGGAGUCAGUGGUCCUGGUUAACUUACCCCUCCCUCCACAAGGUAGUAACAGUGUAGGGAACUGUGGAAAAGGCUGUUUGCCUUCCCUGAGUCUAAUUCUUCAUGGAGUAAAUGGAGUCUGUUUCUUCAGUACUACACCAAGUUGUUCAUGAGGAUCGAGUUUUCUAAUAUUCAUGAAAAUACUUUGUAAACCCUGGCACACCAUGCUCAUGUUAAUCACCUUCUUACUGGAAGAAAAUGCUUUAGAUAAUUUAGGCUUUUUUUUUUUACCCAUAGAAUUCCCUUCCUUCCUUCUGCUUUUUUUUUUCUUUUCUUUAUUUUUUCAGAGAUGAUGUUUCAGUAUGUUGCCCAGGCUGGUCUCGAACUCCUGGCCUCAAGCGAUCCUCCUGCCUCAGCCUCCCAAGUAGCUGGAACUACAGGCAUGCCUCACCAUACUUUGCCCCUUCUACUUUUGUAGAGCCAAGCCUGACCUUCCUGGACUGUUGUUUUCAAGCAUAAUAUCUCUGGUACAACAUUGAUACAAUCCACAUGAGUUCUUUAAGUAAGUGGCUAGUUACUUGGGGAUUCAAAGGAUCAUCUUGUCUCAGACUUUGGGUUCCUAUUGUCAAUACUUAAAUUCUAUGAUAGGAUGCCCCAGGAAAGAAGGAAUACAAGGCCGAGCUGCGUGGUGACUUUCAGGGGCCCUAUUUUUGCCUUAGUAGGCCUUUCUCUCCAUAAAACAGUUAAUAAAAAUUUCAUUUUAUAGUCACAUUGCUAUGAAGAUGAUUAUAUUAAAAUGAUAUCAUAAAACA